UUACCACGGUUUUGGGGCCCCAACUUCCCUUACAAUAAAAAGAGGUAAUAGGGGGAUGUACUGACAGAAGCCGGAAGGAGAGACACAGCCAGGCUUCCCGGCUCUGGCUCUGUCCCUCUUUCCCUCCCUCCGCUUUCUCUCCCUGCUCUUGCCCCCUCUCUGCUCUGUGCCAUCCCUGCCCACGGUCUCCUUCUGCUAAGUCCUAGGCUCUGCCCUGAAAUGUUCCUGGUGUCUGCGGCCCCGGCCCCUGUACGGCGGGGCAGCUGUCAAAACAGUCCUUGUUUCACAGUUUCACUUUCCACGGUUCAUCUAUUCCGGAUUUUAGCUUUUCCAGAAGAGGAAUCUGACUGGCAGGCUUCACCGGGUCCUGGGUCAACAGCCCAGCGGUGAAUGGGCUGCCCAGGCAGCAAGUGCCCACCUGAAGAGAAAAGAGUCCUUAAGACUAAGGCCUGGGAAGCUUCUCUUUAUUUCCAACUGGACGUGAACACGAAGGUCAGCGGCUCUUCAUUCUGGCCUCAAGCAGGAGAAGGAUCAUGGCUACGUCUCCAAUUACCUCCUGGAGCCCGACAAGGAACCCGUAAGUGGGGUCCAGGAAUCUGCCUUUUGAAACAGCUUCCUUCCGUAAUACAGCUACAAGGACCGCGUGGACAGCACCCCGCUCAGCCGCUCAACCAUAAAUUCCAAAGGGACCAGGGACAAAGUCUUCCUGAUAGGAUGUUCUGGCCCCGAGUCCCGGCUCUUGCGACUUUGCGGCCACCUGACUUUGGACAGUUUCCUUUUUCUGGCCUCAACUUUCUUGUCUGUACGCUCAGGAGGUUGAGUUAG
rnacentral:lncRNA from 1 species